CCUACGGGAGGCAGCAGUGGGGAAUAUUGCACAAUGGGGGAAACCCUGAUGCAGCGACGCCGCGUGAGUGAAGAAGUAUUUCGGUAUGUAAAGCUCUAUCAGCAGGAACGAGACAAGACGGUACCUGACUAAGAAGCCCCGGCUAACUACGUGCCAGCAGCCGCGGUAAUACGGAGGAUGCGAGCGUUAUCCGGAUUUAUUGGGUUUAAAGGGUGCGCAGGCGGAAGAUCAAGUCAGCGGUAAAAUUGAGAGGCUCAACCUCUUCGAGCCGUUGAAACUGGUUUUCUUGAGUGAGCGAGAAGUAU
rnacentral:rRNA from 1 species